rnacentral:lncRNA from 1 species
GGUAAGUAUCUCACAUGAGCUACUGAGCAGACCGUGAUGCUCCAUUAAUGAGGAUAGGGACAGGAGGCAACUGUGAUUCAGACAGACUAUGCAAUCUGUUUGAGACACCUGAGAGACAUCCAAGUGAAGAUGUUUCUCACACUUCUUUCUCUCAUAGAAUUAAACCCGAUCCCCUGAACACAAAGUGAACAACACCAAGGAUGGCAAACACAGAUCAUCAGCAGUGGAGAGAGCAAGCAGAUAACCACACCAUCACGGCCAGCAAACACGGCCCAGUUCCAAGGUGCAACUUGGGGCAGCAACUUGCGCCAGCAAGACAGCAGAAGGAGGAAGAGAGUCCGCCUGAAGACAAGUACUCCUAAAGACUGAGAAAGAGGCCAUCCGGGUACAACAUAGCAGUUACGUCAGACUACGACACUUCCUGUUUACAGGAGACUAUAAAACCUUUGCCCCGUCCUCACUUGGUGCUGAGGCCAUUUUAGGCCUCAGCCCGCCUGCACCCAGGUGCUCAUUAAAACAGCAUGUUGCUUCACACCACCUCAUGUUGUCUGUUAGCGCGCUCUCGGGGUUCGAACCGAUACAAGACCCUUAACGGUGCUGAGUGUCCAAUAAUGACAGGCAUGAAGAUUUAAACCAAAACAUGAGAAUGAAAAUUACCUAUUAAUAAUAUGACACUGAUUUUCUCUUUCAACCAACAAUAAACAUAAUUUAUCCAACAUAGGGCUCAAUAUUUAUAUAUUUAUUCCUUUUCAUCCAUUCCAUUUAGAAAUGAUUUCCCAUUAUGGUAACAUUUGGCUACUUGGCAUACCUAGGGA